GAAGACUUCCCAAAGGUCCAGACAACCACCAAACAAUCUGGAGGUGUAUGGCACGUCGGACUGCGUUUUAAUUAGGCACUUUGCACUGAGUAUAGAAGAUACUGGAUAUAUUAGGCACUGGUCAAAGGCCUAAAAUAAAUGAGAGAAUAAUUGAUCUAAUUCUCUCAGAAGACAAGACUGUCUGCAGAGACGCAUUUGUCUGACCGUAAAUCAUGUGAUGAACUAUGAAAUCAUCUGGUGCUGCGAGGACAAGAGACCGGACCUGGGGUCUCUGGCCUGCUGUGAACCAGAUGAAAAGAAAUGUCAUGGACUCUCAUUGGCUCUUCAUGGGGAUUCACAUAAAUCCCUUGAAAUUUGCUGUCCGGGCGCCAUUAUGAGACUGCAGGGAGGAGCUACAGUAUUGCUGACUUCUCAGCGAAAGGAGGUGACGUCCCCUGGCCUUAGGCAGAUAGACAACGGACCGGAGGAAGGCAGUUUACAAGAAAUGUAUGAAACUGUGGGCCAUUGUUGAGAACAGCAACUACCAUAACUUUUUUUUCUGGGCUCUUCUCAGCUUUUCUCAGCCCUUAUGCCUCUAAGAUUUUUCUCAGUUUCUCUCAAAACCUCAUUCUCAAAAAAAAAACUUUGUUGUGUCACCUUCAGUUCAAACACAGUUGCUCAACAUCAUCAAUUCACUCAAUGUCAACUUCAAAAUGCCCGCUAAUCUUGAAUAAAACA